ACAGUAAAAGAUUGUGCGACAAAGUGCAAAGGCAAUGACUGUCAUAGCCAAACGAAGCUAUCCCGCUCAAAGUCACGCAUGGCGAGUGUGGGUACCUACUAUUACAUUUGGCUUGGCAAAAUGGCAUCUAUUCCGCAUCGAACUAAAGAAAAAUGUUAUGGCAGUAUGUCAUCAGCAUUGGCCGUUGGUUUUAACGCAACAGCAAAGAGCAAAGGUGACCUUUCAACGGCUACGUGCUUUGGACCUUUCUGCAAAGCAACAUGCGAUGGAGUCAUAAACAUAUGUAUGGCGAAGUGUAUUGGUCGUGCAUGUAUUUCAAAGUGCACUGCUGGUGCAUGUUUGACACUGAGCGAAGGAGUAUCGGUGGAGUCUUGGUGUGACGGCCAUAGAUGUCACGCCAAUUGUACCGGUGAUUUCUGUUUAUCGACUUGCAGUGGAUCUAAUUGUGUUUCUGAGUGUCACUCGAAGAAAUGCAAAUCUCAAUGUUAUGGAAACAAUUGCGAAGCUAUUUGUAGAGGACGUCGCUGUGUGAAGACUCAGUACCAAGGCCAUGAGCCACAAGCUUCGUCACUGCGUCAACAUAAACAACUUAAAUUAUUAAGAAUGAAAAAAUAAGGUGCAACAAAGGAUGGUUAAAUAUAACAAUAUUGUUUAAAUAUCUCCAGCGGACAUCACACAUUUCCCAACUAGCAGAUAGACUUACGUUCUGCUGCAUACGCCUUUAACGAAAUAUUAAAGAGUAUAAUGAUGUGGCUCCAGCCAGAUUACUGUUUCAGUUAU